AUUUUUUUAAAUGAUGAUAAUCUCAUUACCCAAUUUAUGAGAGAACAUGAUUAAACACUUUUAACAUGCAUCACCAUCUGAAGAAAUU
rnacentral:snoRNA from 1 species